UACGAAGGGGGCUAGCGUUGUUCGGAAUUACUGGGCGUAAAGCGCGCGUAGGCGGUUUUGCAAGCCAGAGGUGAAAUGCCUGAGCUCAACUCAGGAAUGGCCUUUGGGACUGCGAGGCUUUGAGGACUGGAGAGGUGAGUGGAAUUCCUAGUGAUAGAGGUGAAAUUCGUAGAUAUUAGGAAGAACACCGAGUGCGAAGGCGGCUCACGUGGCCCGGUACUGACGCUGAGGCGCGAAAGCGUGGGAGCAAACAGG
rnacentral:rRNA from 1 species